rnacentral:rRNA from 2 species
GGGUGCGAUCAUACCAGCAAUAAUGCACCGGAUCCCAUCAGAACUCCGAAGUUAAGCUUGCUUGGGCGAGAGUAGUACUAGGAUGGGUGACCUCCUGGGAAGUCCUCGUGUUGCACCCCUC